UAUUUUUCCUCCAUGUCUUUUUGUGGAUGGAUAGUUCAUUUCUUUUCAGUGCUGAAUAAUACUGCAUUGUCUGCGUGUACCAUGGUUUAUCCAUUUGCCUACUGAAGUAUAUCUUAGUUGCUUCCAAGUUUUGGGAAUUAUAAAUAAAGCUGCUAUUAAUAUCCAUGUGCAAGUUUUUGUGUGGACAUAAGCUUAGGAGAUCUGUGUUUUUAACAAGUGGUCCAGAGACAGAUUUGGGGCCACUAGACCAGAUAAUCAUUUGUCUAGAGUCUGAGAGGGGACAGAAAGCCUCUCUAGUCCAGAAGUUUGGGUUCCAUGACUGUUGCGUGUAGCCCUUGGAUCGAGCUCUGGUUUGGACUGGGUGUUAACUUUCUUCUCUCUGGAAUACUCCCCAUCCCCCGAGAGGAAAAUCACUCUUUUGGCCAAAUUUUCAGUGCCAAUGUCUAUUGCUAGCAUGAAAUUGCCUAAUAUAAAGAGCAAGUUUUUUCAGGCUGGAGGGAGAGUAUGCUGACCAGUUCCUCCAAGUCCAGGACUGACAGGGUUCAAAUUCUAGCUCUACCAUCCAUGACCUUUAUGACACUGAGCAAGUAACUUAACCAUUCAAUGACUUUGUUUUUCCUUCCAUAAAGGUUGCUAAUAAUAGUACUCACCUGCUGAGGUUAUUGUGAGAAAUAAAUAAGUUCAUACACAAGAAGACUUAGAAAAAUUCCGGGUAUGAAGUCAGUUUUGAGGAAAUGUUAACUGCUGUCACCAUUACUGUCAUCAUCAUUAUUCUUAUUACCAGUUAUGAGACAUUAGGGUCCCUCUGAUGGGGGAGUCCUUCCUGGUGAAAGACCAGAAUUGGAGUGAACCCUGGAGGUUAUUUUAUAGCCGCAAGUGCUGGCUGAGUCAGCGGAAAUAGGAUGGUUCCUGUGUGCCCCGGUUGGCUGAAGGGAGGAGCCAGUUGAGCGGAUUCCAUUUUCUCAUGGUGGUACAUCUGGGGCCAAGGCGCCAGCAGCAUGGAUUGUCCAAGGCAGACAAUAAGGCCAUAGCUUCCCAGAGCUCACUUUGCCUUUUCUCAUUUAGCAGCACCUCCUGUCUCUAUCUUCCCUCUCCACGUGCUAGAAUGCAAGUCACAUAAGUAGCUACCUAGUGCUUUGGUUAUACAUGGUAGUUCUAAUGUGUCCAUUGCUCUGCGAACACCCCUAGAAAGGGUAUGCCCAUAAAACACUGGACUCAAAGACAACAGACAGCACAGGUUUAACUCUGUUACUUCUAAGCUUCAUGAACUUGAGCAAGUUUCAGAACCUUCUGGAGCUUCAGUCUUUUCAUUUCUAAGACAGAAUAAUCCCUCCUUCUCAGGGAUGUCAUUAACUCUUAAUGAAUGCAAAAUGCUUUUUAAACUACACAAAUGGUAUUAUCACCUUAUUUGUUAGAAAGUUAAACUGACGAAAUGUUGGUUAUUGUUUAUGAUUAAAAGAUGAACACGAGGAGAAGAAACUGCUUGGGUUUCUGUUAUGGAAGACAAGAAAGGAGCUGUGUGAGAGUUCUUUGCUGUUAUGGGCAUGAAGGAGAUGUUUACAUGUUCCCAAAGUACAAGGUGCUUUUUGGGCAAAUUAGUACCUGUUCUUUUGCUGGCAAAUCCACCUGUAUGGGAAUCAGCCAUUUAGGACCAAAGAUAGAUACACUACAUAUAUUUACUGCUAACACCAUAAUUUAGUUUGCCUCUUUUUCAACUUUUAACUCAAGUAUAACACUCAGACAAAAAAAGCACACAAAUCUUACAUGAUAAUAGUGAUGAAUUUUUGCAAACUAAACACACAUGUGAAACAAGCAUCUGGAUUUAAAAGGAAAAUAAAAUUGCUAUCAUCAAGAAACCCUGUGGAGGCCUCAGAAUUUCAAACACAGUUGACUCCAAGACUAAUCCUGGCAAUGACAUGCAGUUGGCAAAGUUUAUGUCAUUUAUGUCUUGACAUCUAUUUUUGGUUGGCUUCUGGGUAUGGUUCUGGCCAGUACUUAUAUUAAGGGGUUCCUCCAGACAAUACUAUUUUAGGGAUGGCUUGAGAAUCGCCUUUACACGAGGGUGUCAGUGAAUGGGUUGCUUUUUCCAUAGGUUUCUGGCUUAAAUCUAGGUCCUUGGGUGGAAUCCAAAGGGACAGUUCUCUCAAGGAGGAAAUUCGGGUCUCUGGGAGCCAGAAGUGGGUGACUUUGAAGGUCUCCAGGGAACCUUAAACAUCACCUCACAAAAGCGUUGUGUGGCAUUUUGAAUGCCUGCCAUGGUAAAUCUUGCUAUUUGCAAGGUCAUGAUAGUGACUUACCUUCUUGCUUGGGAUUGAUGCUACAUUGUGUGGUUGGCUGCUCAGUCUAGAAAGGAGACAAAAGAGACAGACUGUGCUGAAGAAAAGCAAUUGUAAUGUGUGAUCAAAAGACCCAGAAAUUCUGGCUAAGGUAUACAGCACCUCACCUAGUUUCUGCCUAGUGCCUGAAGGCGCUGCCGCUAAUUAAACCACCUCUUAGUCAGCAUUCCAGUUGCUCCUGUCUGGGAGACUGCUUGGAAAGGCUCAGUUUGGGAAGCUUCAGAGGCUACAAGAAACUCCCAGGCCUGAGGGCCAAACCUGGAGCUUUUUAAAUCUCAAGAUCAGGGUUCCAGUGACGCUUGGAAGGAGAAUGAGUACUCAUGCUUCAUGGCAGAAGGACCACAUUUUGGAGGGUCCAGAUUUAGAGAUGUUGAUGCUGGUAGUUGGGUUCUAAGAGAUCCUUCAGGGACCAGUGCAUCUUCCCAGGUCCUCAUCAGUUUCCCCAAAGGCCUUGUUGGGUGAACCUAGAAUGGUUUCUGGUUCCGUCUUCCCUCAAGAGUGCUGGGAGCACUGAGGCCACCAUACCUUGGUCAGGGCAGCUGGAUCACAACCACCAGCUGAAAAGAACCAGCCUGGUUGUGGUGCUGACCUGCCCAUUUCUGCUGUGCACUGGUUUCCCAAUGCAGGUCUUCCCUGCUUCUUACAGGAUGGAACUUCCCCACUUGAAGCCAUUUCUGAUUUUCCUUCUCUCAUUUCUCUCCUCUUCUCAGAUUUGUUAGGCUUCUGGACCACUACCCCCUAGAACAGAGUGUCACAAAGAACCUGUGACUAGAACAUAUUUUUAACCUAAUCAUCCAUUCAUUCAUUCCUUUAUGCAGCACAUACUAAUUGAACAUCUACUAUGUGCUAGGAGAAUGCAAGGCAUGGUGGAAACAGUCAAAUAAGACACAGUUUGUCCUCUAAAAGUUUAUGUUCUAGUGGGGAAAACAUACAAGUAAACUGUGAAAAACGCCUCGAGAGCACAGGCGACAUGGUAAACUGUAUCUACAAAGCAAACUUGAGAAUUAUCAAAGGCUUCCUGAGGGAAGUCAUGCCUGAGUUACUUGGAAGGAGUAAAAGUCAGUCCAAGAAGGCUGGGUUAGAGGGUGGAUGGAGGAUGUUUUAGCUAGUGGAGAGUUUGCUUCAAGGCAAGCUGCCUUAUUCAUCUGAAAAGGGGUCAAGUUACCCCUGGCUCAAAACCGAGAGUGUACACCACGUGAAUCCUCCUCAGCUUACUGAAGUUGUAUGAAGUUUUCAAAUGUGUUUUCCUAUUGUUCCAUGAGCCAGAGGCGGGUAGCCAUUACUUCAGAAUCGACAGGCCUUUGGGGACUGGGCUGGCCAAUGUGUUCCUGGGCCAUGGCAUAAUCUUUAUUUUUAGAAGAGGUUCCCAAUUUGGGAUGAUCAAACACCCCACCCCAGUCUUUCACUGGGCCCUGGAGGCUCAUUGUGCCUUUGUGUCUUAUUUCUGUUUGGGGUGGUGUGUCUAUCUGAAAAUGAGCAAUUUGUUGGGUCAAAGCUGGCUUAAGUCUCUGCCUAGGGAAGGAUUUCACAGAAGUCAGAGGCCAUAUCCUUAAGGUUGUACUCCUGAUGUUCUUUGAGAGGUUAUCCAGUCAUUCCAUUGUAGUGGGGGAUAAUGACAGUGGGACCUUCCCAGGCUCCCACCCACUCUGAACUCUGGGACUUUCGGUCUAUAAAAAGCACAAGCACGAAUGUAUUGGCAAGGGUAUUUACUAAACCUCAACCAUAAGCAAACCCUCUUAAUGGUUAUUUUGCAUCAUUUGAGGGAUUUCAGACAAAGAACGGAUAUUAAAAUUGAGUAUCUACUACAUAUUAGAUACUCUGUCAGUGCUUUCAUAGAGAGUAUCUCACUGGAGCUCUAUAAUGACCCAAUGAGUUGCGUGGUUUGUCCAAAAGACCAAAUGUCUUAUCUCAGCCACCACCAGAAAAGGGACAUUUUAACCAAGAAUCAAUGCCAUAUAUUUAUGUAAAUUCAUUCCACCAAGUUGUCUUCUGGACGGUUACUAAUCGGAGCUGGUAUUUUAACAUCUCUUUCCAAGCCAAACAAAUACAAUUUUUAUUCAUCCCUUGAAAACUUUGUCUCCUGCUACUUUGCCUUUGCAGCUUGUGUGAGGACACCGAAGGCUCAACUGACUGUAUACCUGCCAUUCACGGCAUGAGCUGGCUUGGGCCACUGGGCCUAGGAAGUGAUAUGGAAAAAACGACUUCUCCUUCAAUUUCUUGUCUUAUCAUUUCUGACUGCCACCUCACCAGUUCCAUGGAAGUUGACUGUGCCUGGUGUACAUGGUCUCUCAAUGAUUUGGUGGUGAGUUUGGCACUUGGCUGGUCCCAAUGCCAGUUUACCUGUUUGACUGUGUUCCGAUGGCAUUGAUCUGCCUAACUUAGACAUCUAGACUGAGAAUGGGUGAAGGAUGGAUGAGGAAUUAGAAGGUGCUCACGUCUGAAUUGUGUACUGAAUAUGACCCCAAAUUCAGCUUUAUUGGCCUUAAAAAAAUGUGCUUCCAUAGCAGAGAUAGGAAAGGUUAAAAUGGACACAAAGACAUAAAGAAACGGUUGUUGUUAUGGUUGCUGUUGGUUUGUCUCUCAUCUCUGCCUUUCCCUAGCUGUUCCUCUAGCUGUUGUGGUGCAGCUACUGGGCUGUUUCAUGGUGAAUGAAAUGACUUGUCUUCAUAGUCAGCUCUAAGCUUAUUCCAUCCUGGGUACCUAGAAUGGAUCCACAUCUUUGGAACUGAGUGCUAUUACUAUCCUUUCCCCUACCUGGACAAUUAGAGAAUCACAGAAUUUUAGAAUGUUAAAGAAUUUCCAAUUCAACCCUCUUAUUUUAUAGAUUAAGAGAAUGGGACCUAAAAAAUAAAAAUAGGCCAAAAUUGAUACUUAAACCUUAUUGAUAUCUUACAUUAAGAAUGUGUUUUUACCACUUCAUAGCAGUUUACCCUACUGUCUGUUGAUCAUGGAAGGUAAUGUUACAUCCAUUUUAUCCUCAGAUUUUUCCUCUGACACACCCAUUUAGCAGCAGCCCUGGAAUUAGAACACAGACUUCCUGACUUCCAGUGCUAUCCUGGCCCAAUCUCAUCAUGAUUCAGGAUAAGUGAAGACUGUAUUCUUUAGCCAGCCCCUCGGAUGUACUGGAUGAAGCUAUAGUAAAGAGAUUUGUGAAGUCUGGAGUGCCUCACCAGCAGAACCAGAAAGGAAUUUUGUGAUUUAGCAAAUGGACAUUCUGAAGACACAAUGAGCAGAAGAAGGGACUGAGGGAGACUUUGGUGGCUGUGACCCUUUAAGUUUCAUUUACGGGAUCUGUAACAACACAGUAUCUGUCAGCGACAGACUGACACUGUGGUUGGUAAGCAUCCUUCACACAGUUAAGCUAGGUCUUUUAGGAUCUAGGAAGGGUGGAGGGACUUGCCGGCUGUUGGAAAUGCCAGGAAGUCUUAGAGUUUCAGGCCCUUUUACAGCAGGGGUGGCAUUCUUCAGGGAGCUGGGGGAAACCCUGGAUGUGGGACAAUCAACGCUGAAAUCUCUGCCUCUGCUUCUUGGUGCUUGAGCUGACACCGCGGGUAUUUCCAGCAUUCUUAUUCAAAUACACCAACUGUCUUAGGAGAGAGGCCCUGCAAUGAACGCUGUUUUAUUCUUGAUACUAGAGUGACCUAGUGUUGUCCAUUAGGGCAAUUACUGAAUGUCUUUGUCUCCCCAGUACCUCCCUAGACUCUAAAGCCUGGGGCCAGGGAGGGGAGGUUAGAUGUCAGCAGUGGAAGAACAGAUGGGUGAAGCCCAUUGCAGACCUCACAUCUUCCAGGAGAAACACACCAGUUGUUUUUAGGCUCCCUGGGGAAUGUUCUGUUGCCACCUCGUCAAAUCAGUAAAGGUGGAAAAAAGAAUUUGGUGCCAGCUAAGGCGACACUGAAGUGUGCAGCAGGAAAUCUGAAUCUAACAUCACAUCUAAUGAGCCUAUUAUUAGAGGCUCUUGGCAAAGCAAAGAAAAUCGAAUGCUAAUGAAAAGCAGGUUCUGAGAAUACUUUAAAACUUAGCAUUAGCCCCAUUCAUUACAUGUUCCCUUCUGAGUCACAGAGGAUGAUUUGCACAAUAAGCUGAGCUUGCCUUGAAGCAGGACUCACAUGGAUUUGCAUGAGAAAGAACUGGGCAGCGAUUGCAAAAUUAACAGCUGUUUAAAUAAUUCAAUGGAGGGGCUAAGACUGAAGGAAAUUAUAGGCUCAUUGUUAAAAGUUUUUAAUUAUCCCAACAGCUGUCCCAUCACGUGGCUUUACUUUGUUGGGCAGUGGAGGCCACUUGAGAGAUCUGCCUAAGUUGGCACACUGAAACUUCCAACAUUAAGGCAUUGCAUUGCUAAUAUUCCUCCAUUCAGGAGACACUCAAGUAGAAACAGAGUUGGUGGGCAGUGUCAGAGAGCAUUAGCCUUGAUGGAUUUGGUGGACCCAAACCCCACCUGGGGUUUAUUGCUUUGUUCUGUGUGCAGAGCCACAGGAUGUAGGAAGGGAAUAUUAGUAAGGGGGUAAGUGUGCACACUGGACAUGACUUACUGUGUUUAUACAGGGGACUUCCCAGACCAGGUUUAGCACUUUCUAUUCAUUGCCAUGAGAGCAAAUUCACUGGUUGUCGUGACCUUAGGCUUUCCACCUGUAUCCAACUCACCUCUUCCU